GACGAACGCUGGCGGCGUGCCUAAUACAUGCAAGUAGAACGCUGAAGGAGGAGCUUGCUUCUCUGGAUGAGUUGCGAACGGGUGAGUAACGCGUAGGUAACCUGCCUGGUAGCGGGGGAUAACUAUUGGAAACGAUAGCUAAUACCGCAUAAGAGUAGAUGUUGCAUGACAUUUGCUUAAAAGGUGCAAUUGCAUCACUACCAGAUGGACCUGCGUUGUAUUAGCUAGUUGGUGGGGUAACGGCUCACCAAGGCGACGAUACAUAGCCGACCUGAGAGGGUGAUCGGCCACACUGGGACUGAGACACGGCCCAGACUCCUACGGGAGGCAGCAGUAGGGAAUCUUCGGCAAUGGACGGAAGUCUGACCGAGCAACGCCGCGGGAGUGAAGAAGGUUUUCGGAUCGUAAAGCUCUGUUGUAAGAGAAGAAAGAGUGUGAGAGUGGAAAGUUCACAAUGUGACGGUAGCUUACAAGAAAGGGACGGCUAACUACGUG
rnacentral:rRNA from 1 species